GAUGAACGCUGGCGGCGUGCCUAAUACAUGCAAGUCGAGCGAACAGACGAGGAGCUUGCUCCUCUGACGUUAGCGGCGGACGGGUGAGUAACACGUGGAUAACCUACCUAUAAGACUGGGAUAACUUCGGGAAACCGGAGCUAAUACCGGAUAAUAUAUUGAACCGCAUGGUUCAAUAGUGAAAGACGGUUUUGCUGUCACUUAUAGAUGGAUCCGCGCCGCAUUAGCUAGUUGGUAAGGUAACGGCUUACCAAGGCAACGGUGCGUAGCCGACCUGAGAGGGGGAACGGCCACUCAGAAGCUGAGACGCGGUCCAGACACCGACGGGAGGCAGAGGUAGGGAAGCGUCCGCAAUGGGCGAAAGCCUGACGGAGCAACGCCGCGUGAGUGAUGAAGGGCUUCGGGUCGUAAAACGCUGUUAUUAGUGAAGAACAAAUGUGUAAGUAACUAUGCACGUCUUGACGGUACCUAAUCAGAAAGCCACGGCUAACUACGU
rnacentral:rRNA from 1 species